CACAUUCAAUCCCUCCCCCACCACCAGUAGAACAGCCCCCACUUUCCCAGCUUCUUCUCUGCCUCUUUUCCUUUCAUUUUGCUGUUGCCGCAUCACUAUCCACCGCACAUCUUCACCGCCACCACGACGCCACCCCAACCAGCUCCCAUCACGCCCAGCACCCCAACUUCACCCGCCAUCCAUCAACCCCAUGCCAGCAGCUCCCAUCCAUCUCCACCGUCCACUCCUCAUCCACCACCAGAACAGCUCCUCCGCGUACAACGUCCAGCCGCCAUCUUCACCGAGCAGCCACCACCUUCACAUCACCACCACCGCAUCACCACCUCGCCAUCCUCGCACCAUCACCAGCCCAGCAGCCCCCAAGCCAAGCCAAGCCUCCCUUGGCCGAGAGCUUGUAGGGCCGACACCGCCGCUGUCAAACCUCCAUUUGAGUCGCGGUUGUCUUGUGUUUUCAUUGCCGUCAUGUUGCCGUCGCCGAAAGCUCGCCGCCGUAACAAAUCGUCCAUAGAUGAAAAUCCACCCGGUCCGAUUCGGGGUCCCAUGGGAUAUGGAGGUAGAGUCUACCUUCUACCCUAUCCUCGGGACCAACCGAACUUGUGAGUUAGUAGUGACGACGGUUUGGGUCGAUGAGGGUUUCUUUAAUGUGGUGCCUCAUCAUUUCAAGGCUUGGUUUAUCAAUGAGCCCAACGGUAGUCAGGAGGGUUCCUUGCGGGGUUUUGAUGGACCGCCCAUCAAAACCGAGGAUGGGCAAGUAGGUCACCCCAUGGAUAUCGACAUCCCGGGCAGUGUUGUGGUGGAUCCAAUGCCCAAGUCGGAGGGGUCCAAGGUGUAGGUCGCCUAGGAGUUCCUUUUUGAGGUAGACUUGUAUAUAUGAACUCGUUGGGUUAACUUGAUAUAUAUAUAAAUUGUAGUUUGUGAAAAAUUGUGAUGUGCUUUUACUA